rfam:Enterobius vermicularis genome assembly, scaffold: EVEC_scaffold0002821
CCAACGGCCCUCAUUAGGGCCACAUAUGCAUGAAUCAAAUUUCCC